UACGGGGGGGGCAAGCGUUGUUCGGAAUUACUGGGCGUAAAGGGCUCGUAGGUGGCCAACUAAGUCAGACGUGAAAUCCCUCGGCUUAACCGGGGAACUGCAUCUGAUACUGGAUGGCUUGAGGUUGGGAGAGGGAUGCGGAAUUCCAGGUGUAGCGGUGAAAUGCGUAGAUAUCUGGAGGAACACCGGUGGCGAAGGCGGCAUCCUGGACCAAUUCUGACGCUGAGUGAGCGAAAGCCAGGGGAGCAAACGGG
rnacentral:rRNA from 1 species